AAUGGUGCAACUCUCUCCUUUCCCUUGACUUUGGCUUAUUUGAGGUUGGUCCCAAGUGCGGGGUGAAGACUUUUCAUUCCUGUAAUAACUCUAGUUUUAUCCCCCUGCCCACCGUCAUAAUGAUACUAGCCCUUCGGACACCGACUUAGUUGGUAUAAAAGUAGUUGGAGAAAGGUAAAACUGUACAAAAAGUAAAAGUUAGAAGGCAC
rnacentral:lncRNA from 1 species